rnacentral:rRNA from 1 species
GAUGAACGCUAGCGGCAGGCUUAACACAUGCAAGUCGAGGGGCAGCGCGGGAUAGCAAUAUCCUGGCGGCGACCGGCGGAAGGGUGCGUAACGCGUGAGCGACAUGCCCGUUGCCCGGGGACAACCGGUGGAAACGCCGACUAAUCCCCGAUGGGAUACGAUGCUUCAUGGCAUUGUAUUGAAAGUUACGGCGGCGACGGAUUGGCUCGCGUCCGAUUAGCUGGUUGGCGGGGUAACGGCCCACCAAGGCUGCGAGCGGUCGGGGUUCUGAGGGGAAGGCCCCCCACAAUGGGACUGAGACACGGCCCAUACUCGGACGGGAGGCGGCGGUGAGGAAUCGUGGCCAAUGGGAGGAAGCCUGAACCAGCCAUGCCGCGUGCGGGAAGGAGGCCCUAUGGGCUGUGAACCGCUUUUGCCUGGGGGAAAUAAGGGCGUCGCGCACGUCCGAUGAGAGUACCAGGCGAAUAAGCAUCGGCUAACUCCGUG